rnacentral:rRNA from 1 species
AAUAUUGGACAAUGGGCGAAAGCCUGAUCCAGCGACGCCGCGUGUCGGAAGGAGUCCUUCGGGAUGUAAACGACUUUUGGUGGAGACGAAUAAGCAGCUCAGGGAAUGGGGCUGUGAUGACGGUAUCCAUGGAAUAAGCCCCGGCUAACUACGUGCCAGCAGCCGCGGUAAGACGUAGGGGGCAAGCGUUACCCGGAAUUACUGGGCGCAAAGGGAGCGUAGGCGGGAGGUCAAGUCCGGUGUGAAAGACCCUGGCUCAACCAGGGAUGAGGGCUGGAAACUGACAAUCUUGAGUACAGCAGAGGAAGAGGGAAUUACCGGUGUAGGGGUGAAAUCCGUAGAGACCGGUAAGAAGGCCAGUGGCGAAGGCGCUUUUCUGGGCUGUUACUGACGCUGAGGCUCGAAAGCCAGGGUAGCAAACCG